rnacentral:rRNA from 1 species
GACGAACGCUGGCGGCGUGCUUAACACAUGCAAGUCGAACGAUGAAGCUAGAGCUUGCUCUGGUGAAUUAGUGGCGAACGGGUGAGUAACACGUGAGUAACCUGCCCCGAACUCUGGGAUAACUGCUGGAAACGGUAGCUAAUACUGGAUACGACCUACGAAGGCAUCUUCUGUAGGUGGAAAGAAUUUCGGUCAAGGAUGAGCUCGCGGCCUAUCAGCUUGUUGGGGAGGUAACGGCUCACCAAGGCGACGACGGGUAGCCGGCCUGAGAGGGUGACCGGCCACACUGGGACUGAGACACGGCCCAGACUCCUACGGGAGGCAGCAGUGGGGAAUAUUGCACAAUGGGCGCAAGCCUGAUGCAGCAACGCCGCGUGAGGGAUGACGGCCUUCGGGUUGUAAACCUCUUUUAGUAGGGAAGAAGCGAAAGUGACGGUACCUGCAGAAAAAGCACCGGCUAACUACGUGCCAGCCGCCGCGGUAA